ACAUGCAAGUCGAGCGGACCAAAGAAGAGCUUGCUCUUCGGCGGUUAGCGGCGGACGGGUGAGUAACACGUAGGCAACCUGCCUGUACGACUGGGAUAACUCCGGGAAACCGGAGCUAAUACCGGAUACGUUUUUCAGACCACAUGGUCUGAAAGAGAAAGACCUUUGGUCACGUACAGAUGGGCCUGCGGCGCAUUAGCUAGUUGGUGGGGUAACGGCCUACCAAGGCGACGAUGCGUAGCCGACCUGAGAGGGUGAUCGGCCACACUGGGACUGAGACACGGCCCAGACUCCUACGGGAGGCAGCAGUAGGGAAUCUUCCGCAAUGGACGAAAGUCUGACGGAGCAACGCCGCGUGAACGAUGAAGGUUUUCGGAUCGUAAAGUUCUGUUGUUAGGGAAGAACCGCCGGGAUGACCUCCCGGUCUGACGGUACCUAACGAGAAAGCCCCGGCUAACUACGUGCCAGCAGCCGCGGUAAUACGUAGGGGGCAAGCGUUGUCCGGAAUUAUUGGGCGUAAAGCGCGCGCAGGCGGCUUCUUAAGUCAGGUGUGAAAGCCCACGGCUCAACCGUGGAGGGCCACUUGAAACUGGGAGGCUUGAGUGCAGGAGAGGAGAGCGGAAUUCCACGUGUAGCGGUGAAAUGCGUAGAGAUGUGGAGGAACACCCGUGGCGAAGGCGGCUCUCUGGCCUGUAACUGACGCUGAGGCGCGAAAGCGUGGGGAGCGAACAGGAUUAGAUACCCUGGUAGUCCACGCCGUAAACGUUGAGUGCUAGGUGU
rnacentral:rRNA from 1 species